UUUGUCGUGUGGCGGGGCGUCUCACUUGAUUUGGGUAAAAAGCAGGCUGCGGGAUCUAUCCCGCGGCACAACUUUCUCGUUCGGCUUCUUAGCAUUACCCCCCCUCGUUCGUUCGGCUUGUGCUCCUUCGCUCGACUCCGGCUUGCGCCCUCCCUCACUGUCGACUCUGUCCCGCUCAACUCCGGUAUUCUCUCCCCCCUACCUCUUCUUGCUCCCUCGCUCGCUCCCUCCCUGUCGCUCCCUCCCUCGCUCUCAAGAUCAACUUCUAGAGUUGGUGAGAACCUUAAUUUAGCUUUGCAGCUAAGGAAGUUCACUUUUAAUGAACUUAAAUGUGCCACAAGAAACUUCAGACCAGAAAGCCUUCUAGGAGAGGGAGGAUUGACCGUGUUUCAAAGGUUGGAUUGAAGAUAGUGGAAUUGCUCCUGUGAAACCUGGUCUAGAUAACUUUCAAGGGGUAAAAUGGUCAUUUUGUCAGAAACAGCUGCCCCAAAACUGUUUUCACACAGUUGCACCCAACAAACAGCCAAAUUUUUUGCAGCAGCUUUCUGGGGCAAUGCAUCUACAACUGAAAAGCUGCAGCUGCGCCAAUGAGAGUGAGAGGAAGAGCCUUCCCAAAAUCGAUCUGAACUCCGUAUGUUAAAAUCUCCAUUCCUCUACAAGCAGCAUUCUAUGGAUUCGGCACGGAGAGUUGGAUGCGUCUUUUUGGGGAUUCUAUGCGAAGCCAAAGAAUUUUUCUUUUUCGCUUCCUGGUAUGUAUUUGUAAUUAAUUUUUCCUGAAUGCAUUCUCUCUACAUUCUAUCGGCUUCAACCUUCUCGUAAGUUCAUUUCCCGACAGAUAAUUCUACCGCAAACCAUACUA